GCCAGACUCCUACGGGAGGCAGCAGUGGGGGAUAUUGCACAAUGGGGGGAACCCUGAUGCAGCGACGCCGCGUGGGUGAAGAAGUAUUUCGGUAUGUAAAGCCCUAUCGGCAGGGAAGAAAUUGGACGGUACCUGACUAAGAAGCCCUGGCUAACUACGUGCCAGCAGCCGCGGUAAUACGUAGGGGGCAAGCGUUAUCCGGAUUCACUGGGUGUAAAGGGAGCGUAGACGGCCAUGCAAGCCUGGAGUGAAAGCCCGGGGCCCAACCCCGGGACUGCUCUGGGAACUGUGCGGCUGGAGUGCGGGAGGGGCAGGCGGAAUUCCUGGUGUAGCGGUGAAAUGCGUAGAUAUCAGGAGGAACACCGGCGGCGAAGGCGGCCUGCUGGACCGCGACUGACGUUGAGGCUCGAAAGCGUGGGGAGCAAACAGGAUUAGAUACCCGAGUAA
rnacentral:rRNA from 1 species